UACGAAGGGUGCAAGCGUUACUCGGAAUUACUGGGCGUAAAGGGUGCGUAGGUGGUUUGUUAAGUCUGCUGUGAAAUCCCCGGGCUCAACCUGGGAAUGGCAGUGGAUACUGGCAAGCUAGAGUGCGGUAGAGGGUAGUGGAAUUCCCGGUGUAGCAGUGAAAUGCGUAGAGAUCGGGAGGAACACCAGUGGCGAAGGCGGCUACCUGGACCAGCACUGACACUGAAGCACGAAAGCGUGGGGAGCAGACAGG
rnacentral:rRNA from 1 species